AGGAUGAACGCUGGCGGUCUGCUUAACACAUGCAAGUCGAACGGAGUAGCAAUACUUAGUGGCGGACGGGUGAGUAACGCGUGAGAAUCUACCUUCAGGACGGAGACAACAGUUGGAAACGACUGCUAACCCCCGAUGUACCGAAAGGGCAAAUAUUUAUAGCCUGAAGAAGAGCUCGCGUCCGAUUAGCUAGUUGGAGAGGUAAAAGCUCACCAAGGCGACGAUCGGUAGCUGGUCUGAGAGGACGAUCAGCCACACUGGGACUGAGACACGGCCCAGACUCCUACGGGAGGCAGCAGUGGGGAAUUUUCCGCAAUGGACGAAAGUCUGACGGAGCAACGCCGCGUGCAGGAGGAAGGUUUUCGGAUCGUAAACUGCUUUUCUCGGGGACGAGCAAGGACGGUACCCGAGGAAGAAGCCCCGGCUAACUACGUGCCAGCAGCCGC
rnacentral:rRNA from 1 species